GAGUUUGAUUCUGGCUCAGGAUGAACGCUGACAGAAUGCUUAACACAUGCAAGUCAACUUGAACUUCGGUUUGGGUGGCGGACGGGUGAGUAACGCGUAAAGAACUUGCCUCACAGUCUGGGACAACAUCUGGAAACGGAUGCUAAAACUGGAUAUUAUGAACUAUGCGCAUGCAUGGAUUAUGAAAGCUAUAUGCGCUGUGAGAGAGCUUUGCGUCCCAUUAGCUAGUUGGAGAGGUAACGGCUCACCAAGGCGAUGAUGGGUAGCCGGCCUGAGAGGGUGAACGGCCACAAGGGGACUGAGACACGGCCCUUACUCCUACGGGAGGCAGCAGUGGGGAAUAUUGGACAAUGGA
rnacentral:rRNA from 1 species